UUUUUUCCUCAUAUCUCGAAUCUGAACACCCCUAACCGGAUGGCAUAAGUUAGCCAAAGUACUUUUCAUUGCUGGAAAAUGUAUGAUAUUGGCUGUCAAAAAACAACCCAUAGAAAACUCUCUCCCUCUUCUUCCCUACUCAGAUCUGGUUGAAUUUGAAUAAUUUCGUGUUCUUCUUCAUUUAUUGAGAGUUGAGCCAAUGCGUUCUCCAUGUUUGCAGGUGUAGAAUCCCAAUUUUUGUACCUUUCAAUAGAUCCAAGCCACUAAGCAUGCACCUACGUCGCCUUGCAGAGGCCAGACUUCAAAGAACAAGCACUAACAAAAGAACGAAAAAACACCAAAGACCUAAAACUUCUUGCCAGCGGCGGCAGACAAAACCUUGCUAGGGUAGCAGACUAAACAAUGCAUUUAAAUUUUUAAUUUUUUUUUUAAGCAAUGCAGAAGAGUGUUUAGAAGAAUAAAAACACCGUGGGUGAAUAUUAUUGGAAACUGGUGUUUCUAAUAUCGGUUUUAACUUAAAAGAAAAAAAAACAAAAAUAGGCCAUUUUCACUCUGAAAGCGAUGCUUCAAGUUAAAAAAUCUCUCCGAAUUUCAAAUUUAGGCAUGCAGGAGUAAGUGAAUGUGGAUGGCUGGAUACUAACCUUUGGGUCACAGUUGCCAUUCGAAUAAUUUGGGUUCUCCAUUUUUGUUUGAUGUUCAGUAUCUUUGUCUCUAUCAUGCGGGGAACCACAGUUUUUCCAUCUCCAUGUCAAUUGAUCCAUGUACCUUAGGUAUACAUUUCCGUCUGAACCUAUCAAAAGCAGUUGAUUGCCUUUGAAGAAUGGACCAGGAGGAGCAACUAAGUUAACAUCUUUGCAUGGAGUGCCAUGUUCUACCCAGAUCCAACCAUCCCAUGCAUUCCAGUGAUAUUCAACUAAUCCACCAUCUUCUGAAAGCAUGAAAAGUGAACCUGUUAAUGAAAAGAAUGAAGGCCUUAUGGCAGUUCCUGGCAACCUGGAUAGAACCAAAUGCUGAGAUUGGUGAUGCUCAUGCCACAAUUCAGUUACUUUGUUAUACUGGUAGAGCCGACCAUUUCUUCCAACAACAAACACUAUAUUCUCCCUAAAGAUUUCUUGGUCUAUUAUGCAUGCAAGUUUGGUUUCUGGAGGGUUUCGGCAGUAUUUCCAUUUGAACUUUCUCAGGGCAACCUACAUGACAUGUAAGGAUGUUGGUUAGUGCAACACUUUGGAGCAAAGUAACGAAUCUGAAUCACUAGUUUUUGAAGACUAGAUAAUGGAAUUAUGUUAUGUUAACGUUAUAUAUCUUACUCUAGUUUAUCUAGUAGUCAAUUGCCCUUGACGCUGCCAUAUCAUUCUGGAUACUCAGAAUGUGGCUCUUCUUAAGGUAUAAUUUGAAAAUUUUCACUGUUAAGAUGGUUUUAGGUAUAAUAUGGUGAAAAUGUGAUAAACUGAGUCGGUACUUGAAUAUAUAAUUCAAGGCUUGUGUCUCUUAUGGAAGAAUUUCAGAAAUGAAAAAGCAGCAGGCUUGUUAUCUUUUCGUUUUGGCCUUUUAUUUGUUUUUUCUUAUAGGAGGAAAAGAAGAAAGAAAGAAAAUCCUAAACGAACCAUCUUGUAAUUAAUCUGUUUGCUUUUCAGAUUUUAUUUUAUUUGCUACUUACUGUGAACUGAAGUAGUCUUCCACUUUUGCUCACAAAAAAGAGUGCAUCUUCUGCUGUGACUUUCAGUUUACCAUCCCAAGGAGGGCCUGCUGUAACUUGUGUUCCUUUCCUCAUUGCAGUGCAAUUUAUCCAUGCUAGGUCAUUUCCGCUCCUUUCUCUUAUAAGCAAGGUUCCAUAAAUGUCAACAAAAAAUAAACUUCCAUUGUAGUUUCCUAGGGAACCUCUCAUAGGUGUUGAAUGGUCGUGCCUUAACCAGAGCCAUACAUUUUCAGUGUAAAGAUAUUCAAACGUCAAACCCUCAUCUGUUACCAUAAAAAAUGAUACACCUGCUUGCAUCAUCCUCAGUCGGAAAUUAGUGUUAGUCCAGUUAUCUGGGAAACUGUAUUCUUUUGAUGUUUCUGCAAGGGCACUCCUGGAUGUGCUUGGAGAUAAGUACUCUUGUUGUGCUUUAUUACCCUUUCUCCUUCUUGUCAGGGAUCUUGUAUUACCUGCAUCGUUUGAUUCAUCUUUUAUACCUGCUAUGCAAUUCAUAGGUCCACGUUCUUCUGUACAAUACUCAGCAUUCCAUCCUUCUGUCUCAGGCGCAUCUAAUAUUGACCAGACAUACUUAGAGGAUACUUUUUUUCUCAUGUUAAAUUGAUGUGUUGGCCCUGAAUUCUCACCACCUAGGUUAGGCAUAUGUAACUCUGCAAGUCUACCGUCAUCCAGUGCAAACAGGGUCCUGCCAAGUUGAAAUCUUAGUCCUGCAAUACCUCUAGCAGCUUUUGCAUUUGGUGGAUGCAUAUGAUUCAGCCAUGUUACUGAGAUUUGGUUCUCUUGAGCUGUACCUGUCUUCACAUGUAAAAGUUAAAUUGAGGAUCUACUGUGGUUGCCAGAUAUCAAGAAGACUGUAACUAGCAGGUUUGAACUCCACCCAUAUUGGUUGCGAGUUGUCACCGAGUUGCAUCUGAAAAAAGGAAGAUAAAUCAGCCUAUAAUAACAAGGAACCCUUGUGGUCACAAUACAAUAAAUUGAUUAUCAUUUGAGCUACAGAAGUCCAAUUGAGGCGAUUCAAGAUGUGUUGAGAAGCAAAUUGAAAGAGCUACAAGUUGAAAAAGGCAACUUAGGCUAACUCCACUUGGAUCAAACACAAGAUCAUGUCAAAAUUCAUGUGCUGUUUUUGGUCGAGGUUUUGAGUUCAUUAGGGAAUAUGAAUUCAUGUAAAAUUUACCCCCCACCCAUGCACGCAUCACACUAUCCCUCUCUCCUCCCUUUCGUGUCCAACCAUACUGUUGAAGUAUGUGUUCUGUAUUGGUGUCAGCCUUGUUACCUGUUAGCUAUGAUUGAAAUCUAUCUUUAUACCGGUGGAGUUGUGCCUGAGGCUCUCCAUUAAUGUUUUACAUAUUUCAGAAAUACCGUUGGCCCAUUGGAUUCCUUUCCUACUUCUCUUUGUUCCAAAAUAAUUGAAAUUUGGCUUCAUGGUUUU